rnacentral:ncRNA from 1 species
UCUUAUCAGAUCUAGGAUGAUGUUAUAUUUGUAAACGAAUGAUUAGAGGAAUUAUGGGACGAAACGUCUUCAACCUCUUCUCAAACUUUCAAUGAGUAUGACGUCCUGCUUGCUUGAAUGAAGCAUAGACAUCGGAUGUGUGCUCCAAAUGGGCCAUUUUUGG